rnacentral:lncRNA from 1 species
CUUGGAGAGAUGCAGUGAAGUAGCAAAAUGGCAUAAGAAUCCUUGUUUGGCUGGUGAGGUGAUGCAGACUUGCAAUACUUAAAAUACACUUGCCUGAGUAGUGACAGUCCUUAAAAUACAUGCAAAGCAUCCUCAUGAAGUAAGAAGCAACUCCACAGAAAAUGGAAGUGUCCAGAAAUUAUGCAAAUAGUAACUAUGCUGGGAAUCCUUUGGUAACCCUGUUCCCUUGUAUCAGAACAUGCAGCUGUCAUGUCUAAAAACUUCAAAUAAAUUUCUGAAACCUUGUAGCUACAGGAGAAUGUUUUCUGGUGUCAGCAUUACCACUAACAUUAUUGAUUCUUUUCCUACAGCUUGGAGGGGAACUUGGCACCAUGUUUCUUGGCCUCUCCAAAUCUGGAUUAUGAUGGAUACCACAAAUACAUAGAUGAAAUGCUUCCAUCUGAAAGCCCUGUACUAUAUGGACUGCACCCCAGUGCUGAGAUGGGAUUCUUGUCAACAUCAGAUAAUCUCUUCAAAUCUCCUUUGGAAAAGCAAGCCAUAUCUCCGUGGGAGAGGGAUCAGGCCAGUCUGCAGUGAAGAGCUGCAAUGCAGAGCAGGAACAACUGGCCUUUGGAUAAGGUGUGCUCAAUUGCAGAUGUAACCAAAAGACCAAGGAGGAGUAUGACCACCCAGCAAGAAAAGGAGCCUGUACCUGUAUGCCUUCUGUGCAAGGUAAGAAAUGAACUUAAAUUGCUUGAUCUCCUAGUUCAGGAACUCUAUUAGGCAGUGAAGCUGCAUCAAGUGUUGCACUAAAGCAUUGUGACCCUAUGAACAGCACCAAGCAGCUUAGGCGUGGUGCUAGAUUGCUGGCAUUUGUCACUGUGGCUUUAAAUUUCAUACCAGCUUGGUGUUCUAAUCAUUAAAUAUACUUCCUGCACUUAAAUAACUGUAAGUAUGUCUGAACAAGGCCUGCAUUGUAGUAAAGCAGCAGCUCUAAUCCAACUGAGGUUCAGAAGCUUAAAGACUAUUCCAGAAACUAUAAAUUUCACAAAAAUGAACUUCUAUAUAUUUUUUGCAACCCUUAGAGGUGCAGAAUAGGGUAGUAGCUAGCACAUGCUAGCAACCUGGAUCAAGUAACC